GACGAACGCUGGCGGCGCGCUUAACACAUGCAAGUCGAGCGAUGAAGCUUUAACAGAACCCUUCGGGUCGAGGAGAAAGCGGAUUAGCGGCGGACGGGUGAGUAACACGUGAGUAACCGGCCAUAGACAUUGAGAUAGCCUCGUAAAACCGGGAUUAGUAGCAAAUAAAAUCAUAAUGGCACAUGUCAUAACGAUCAAAACUCCGGGGGUGUAAGAUGGACUCGCGUCCCAUUAGCUAGUUGGUAGAUUAAAAGCAUCCCAAGGCGACGAUGGGUAGCCGGCAUGAGAGGGGGGACGGCGACCUUGGAACUGAGAAACGGUGCAAACUCCUACGGGAGGCAGCAGUGGGGAAUAUUGCACAACGGAGGGGACUCUGAUGCAGCGACGCUGCGGGAACGAAGAAGUGUUUCGAGUCGUAAAGUUCUUUUAUAUGGGAAGAUAAUGACGGUACCAUAAGAAAAAGCCCCGGCUAACUACGUG
rnacentral:rRNA from 1 species